UACGAAGGGGGCUAGCGUUGCUCGGAAUUACUGGGCGUAAAGGGCGCGUAGGCGGAUAUUUAAGUUAGAGGUGAAAGCCCAGGGCUCAACCCUGGAAUAGCCUUUAAUACUGGAUAUCUUGAGUUCGGGAGAGGUGAGUGGAACUCCGAGUGUAGAGGUGAAAUUCGUAGAUAUUGGGAAGAACACCGGUGGCGAAGGCGGCGACCUGGUCCGGGACUGACGCUGAGGCGCGAAAGCGUGGGGAGCAAACAGG
rnacentral:rRNA from 1 species